CUAAAAUCAAAAGCAUCGCAAAAUAUAUGAUCUUAGCUGUUUUGAACAGUUAUAUUCAAAUUCAUUAAAUGGAUUGAUGUUACCACUCAUCAUGACACAAACAAUGUGAUAUUAUCUACUUGGUUCACAGGAAAUAACUGUAAGAAAUUUCGAUUUUUUAUGAAGAACUGUACAAGUUUGUUGAAAUCUGCUGUCCACUAUGGGAUACCAUCAACCUAAUUUAGAAGCUUUAUAGUCAGUCUAUUCGUCUACAAUUGCAAUUAAUAAAAGUACUAUAGUGGUACUACCUUGAACCUUCUACAGUUUUGGAUUAAAGUGAAUAAAAAAUACGGCAUUGGAUUCAGCAUAAAACAAUAUAUAAUAUUAAAUGUAAUUUUUGCUAGGUUAUAAUGUAACAUAAAUUAUUAGAUUAAUUAAUUAAAUUAAUUUAUUGUUUAAUUAUUGUAUUACUAUUAAGUAUGUAGUUUAUGUCGGCAAACAUUUUAGUGUACAUUAUUAAUUUGGCACAUGCCACAUACCUAAUAUAGGUUAAUUUAUUACUAGGUGACAUUUUGAAAUGUUGAGGCUAUUGAAUUAUUAUUAAUAAGUUCAAUUUUUAAAAUACUGU